rnacentral:lncRNA from 1 species
UAUCUGAUUUCUGUAAGCCAUGUUUCUGAAAUGCAUCUCUCAGUUAAGUCACUCUACCAGACCUAAAAGAUGAUUGCUAAAUAAAGAUAUUUAGAGAAUUGCUUAGAAAUUACAAACUUCCCCACUGCACUUUGCUACUUUUAUACCACCUACCAUAUUCUAUGCAACUCACCUGUUAAGAUUUAUUACUAUAAAGGUAUCUAUUCAUGGUUUUCCAUUUCAAACACAAUAUAUGUAGUAAUUUUAAUUCAUUUCUGAGAAUGAUCUCAUCCAUUCUGCUCAUGGGGAAAGUAUUAUAUUAGUAUGGUAUAUAAAGGGAAGUGUUGACAACGGUGGUGGAAUUUUUCACAAGGAGGACAACAAUAUGGAAAACAUAAGAAUGGGGAAGAGGAACUAGUCUUACAUCCACUUUAAAGAAAGAUCAUAGGUGUUUUAGGUAAAAUGUAAUCUUCUUAGUUUGACAUCAAUAGCCUUUGAUAAUCAUUUCCCAUAUAACUUUUCAGCCAUAACUAUUUUUUCAAGGACCUUUCCUCAGUCCAUUAUAUUCUUUUCAUCACCAGCUAGUGCAUUUCCAUUCAUCUUUCAAUAUCCAAUUCAAAUGCCAACUCUGUGACACCUUUUUGUAUUCUGCCAGACAAAAAUAAUUGUGUUUCUUCUGACCUCUCCUUGUAUAUUUCAUGGAAUAUGGCAAAGUACUUAAUUCCACUGAACUGUAGCUACUGUCUUGCUGUCUUACCAACUAAAACAAGGACAUUUUGGGGAAUAUGAGAAUUUAAAUUGAAUAGUAACCACAAGAUAAAAACUCUGGGCAUUGCACGAUCUUCCUUUUAACUAAUUAGAGGCCAAGUAUAUUGAUGAAAAUCAUUAUAUAGAAUUUGAUAAGACUUUCUUCUAAUAUUGUUUUAUGAUUUUUCAUGUUUCAUAAAAUUUUGACAGAAAUAUAUUUCUUAUAAUUUGUCUUCUUUGUAACUCCCCUCUUUUGUUCCUACAGCAACAUGCUGUCCUGGCUAACGUGUUUAUGAAUGCAAGAAAACUUUCAAAAAGGGAGUUUGAAAUUUAACUCCACAAACUACUAUCUGGAUUGGAAUGCUACAUUAAAUGUAUUAUAACUUUGUAUGGACUUAUAGGGAUGGGGAAUGAAAAGGAUCCAAGGCCCUAUGUUGAUAUUCUUUUGAUAUGUUAAGAAAUAAUCUAGUGUUAUUUUCUAUUUCUUCUCAAAUGUUUUUAGAGGUUACUUGGUACACUGGUCGACAAAACCUUGAAAUAUUGAUGUUUAAGGGCUGCUGAUUGCUGGCAGCAAAGAAGUCCAACUGUGCUGGCACCUGAGAUAGCGUCUCCACAUUUUCUUCCAGGAUCAUCACCUUUGUUCUAAAUAGCUCCUACACAGUGUGAAUAUUAGUCAUAUGUUUUAGAUUUUCUGCCUUGGCACCCAGGAAACCAGUAUGAUUGAGUAAACAUAUUAAACUUCCUCUGCAUUUCCAGCCUGAACAGAUGUUGAGUACGAGCUGAUCCACCUAUGUUCAACCCGAGAGAGUCCACAUCCACAGAUGGUUUCAUUUCCCUUUUUCAAUGUAUGUAAAAGCAUAGAUUCUUGCUGGCAUGUAUAAAUGUGCCAUUUAAGGCAAUCAAAAAUGGUUCCACAUCUCACUUGAUUUCCACAAUUGUUGCUGUAACGAUGGACUAUUGAGGAGAGAAACUUAAUUUCUCUGGCAGAUCUUCCCACAUUUAAGCAACAUGUUCAUGGAGAGCCAAUAUUCAGUAAUUACAGCACAAUUCCUCACAAUUUCACAAUUCGCCAACAGUAUGCAUUUUCACAAUGUAAAGCUGAUUUUCCUUUAACCAAAUGAAACAUGAAAAGGUAGCUGCAUGCAAUGGGCAAUCUAGGUCAUUAGAUGAUUGAUGUAAAAUUAGAGGACAUUGAGACUAGAAUAGAUUGCAAACAUCGGGGAGCUCAGAAAACUUGUAAACUCUACAUUUUGAGGAAAUAUGUUGUUGAUGCUUUUGCAGCUCUAUGCAGCAACCUAACAAA